UUCUUACUAGAGAGUUGGGAUAUUUUUCAUGACAUUUCUCUCCAUUUACUAGGUUAAUGACAGCAUUAGAGUCACUCUCCAGAAUCACUUGCUUCAACCCCAACUCCCAGGCUAGGUUCAGGCCUUGGACGAUCCCCCAUAGUUCGGCCUUGAAAGUUGUUCCGCACCUAAUGUUGUGAGUAAAGCCCGCCACCCACUUCUUCUCAUCAUUUCGAAUGAGACCGCCACAUCCUGCCCUGUCGUUGAGUCCUUGUUGAGUCCCAUCAGUGUUAAUUUUUGCCCAGCCCAUCGAAGGUGGUUCCCACCGAAUGUGUGCCUCUCUUCACUUAUUCGAUUGCCCCUUCAGGCCUUGCUCUUCCAGGACUGAGUGAUCCUCUUGGACUGUUCCGCAGGGUCGUCGGUGGUAUUUAUGAUUGCUGGUUGAAGUUGGAAGUUCACUUGUACGAAAAGAAUAGGUGCAAACGGUCGAGAGCUAUUAUCAUUAUUAUUUGUCCGGCUUCACAUUAUUCUGGAAACAUUUUUUUUAAAAUAUACAUAUAAUGGCUGCGUCUCUGGUGCCCGUGGCUAUGGUGGCUAACGGUGACUAUGAGUUGACUCUUCAAUCAGAUGGUGACAAAUGGAGUGUUCUUUAGUGUGGUUAAGUUCUCUACGAAAACAUUCGACAAGGACAAGGACCGCAACAGAGGACCGAGGACUUCAAUGGUAACAGCAGCGACAUAGCACACACAGGAAUGAAUUGAACCACGUCGGCGGGAGGGAGUCAAGUCACCAUGGAUGCACCACCAAUGGUCUGCUCCCGCAUGAAGAUCCGUUAAGAGGGAGCUAGAGAUCAAAAUGUGUUAUAGUAUUGGAGGGGUUACCGUUUGGAUUCCGGGUCGGGGUGUUCAGGUUACGAUUGGUUUCUAGUCUGGGUCGGGUUUGGCCAAGGCCUUGUCCAGAAAAAAAAACAAAAGAAGUGUUGCGGGUAACUAUGGUUGAACGGUUGAGGUUGAGGGUGUAACAGUGAGAAAAUGAAGGGAAAAAAAUCCCUUUUUGUUUACGUGUAAAGAAAUAAUUGUAGCAACUAGCAUAGGCAUCAUAGCCACAGCAAAUUUGUGGCCACCA